UUUUCUACCUCGUCAUUCUCACGAGCUGCCUGUUUUAGCCUUGUCUUCCCGGAUUGGUCGUGUGUACGGAGUGAAACAUCCUAAUGGAAGUUUGAAGAGCCUGAUGUGUUUUACUCAAGCCGCUACCUCCCUUAGACACGGCACUCUGAAAUAAAGUGAAGUCAUGGAGGAAGAACUGAAACUAACAAACGACCAAGUCCUCAUUCGCACCACUACAGCAGGGGUCCAUAAUCAGCCAUGCAGUUGGGUCACGGGUGAGCUGGAGCCUAUCCCAGCUGCCUUUGGGUGAGAGGCUGGGCAACGCACUGGACUGGAGAAAAUCCACAGAAACACAGUGAUUCGCUUACCACAUCCUCCACCCUGCUGCAAAACUAACUUGUUUUCAGUGAAAUUCCAACUGUAAGAAGCACUGAAUGAUUAAAUGCACUGCAUGAAAACAGGGCCUGUUAAAAAUGCUUUCAUUUUUAAAUAGCACUUGAAUCACUCUUUUUUCAAUCAACACAACACUGUUUUGUUUUUUUUAAUCAGCACAUUGCGCACUGCAUUACUGUACCUGUCAAUGUAAGACUGUGGCUGGCCCCACAGGUGACCUUAGACAUUUGGUCCAAGAUCUCCACAAAGCGAAGGAUGAUCACUUUUCAUCAAAAAUGCUGCCAAUUUGUUCAUAAUCCUUGUGCCUGUUGGAGACACCACAUUAUUCAAAACAUAAUUAUUUACCUGAGGGUGUCAUCUUCUUACUCU